CACAGCUUCACUCCACUGAGACAUACAGAGACACACCUCCCUUAUUUAUCAAAACAAGCACUUAAAAAGGAUUCUUACCAUGGUCAACGUGAGCCAAAACACAAAUAUUCCUGAUGUUGGCAGUGUUUUUCUGGAGAUGAAUCAUCUUAUCCAAACUGUUGAGCACCAUGGUUUACUUAUUUCCUGUGACUAAAAAUUAAGUAAGUAUUAGCCCAGAGAUUAAAGGUCGGGGCAAAAGAAAAAAAUAAUAAAUGCUAGGAGGUGGCAAGGCUUCUCAAACCCCUUAAACUAAGAACCCAGUGAAUAUUUAUUGAUGAGACACACCACCUAGGCCUAAGUCCCGUUCGUGCACUAAAGUCAAUAUCCUAGCACAAUUAUACUUAAGGAGUUUGCUCAUCCUUCCGGAUCCGAAGGCUGCGAUGAAUCACGCAGCUCGAGGCGGCUGGGUGCAGAGUGACACCAGUAACCCUGCCGGUGGAGGAGUACUGGGCUAAACUUCUCCAGGCCAAUGACCACGUACAGGAAGGGUUGCAUGCAGGAGGGAGAGAAGAUGCUGAAGAAGAUGCUCCCUUUCUCUCUUCAGUCUUCCCCCAAGUCCCUCAUUCUGACAUUCUCGCUAGUCCUCGCGCAAGGUGGAAUACCCAGCUUUAUUCCUGCCCACGGAGCCCGAACAAAAUUUUGGGUCACGUGCUUAUUAUCCAAGCAGGUGCAUUGCCGGUCUUUCAUUCCUUUCUAAAUAAAAAGGAAAAACCUCUACACUACAUGCCCUUCAUUUCGGCAGGGUCCCGGAUUCGCUCUCUUUGAGAAUCGCUGGUCCACACAGACAGGCCACCGCCCCGGCCCCAGACUGGAAGCGACACUCCGGGGACCACCGCUCCCAGCCAGGGCUCGGCCCCAGCCCGCGUUCCCGCCUCAGAGCCGCAGCGAGCUGGGUCCUCCAAGCACCGCCCAAAGGCUGGCCAAGGAAGAUGCCAGUCCCCAGCGCGAGCUCGCACUCACCGGCGGCAGCAGCCCCACAAGCCCAGCUUCUCCUCUGGGGUCGCAGCCACACCAAGAGCUUCCGAAACGCAAAGAUCUCUGCGAGUCCGGCACGCCCGCGCGCCAGGGGGCGGGGCCGGCUGACGCUCGACCUUUCACCCGCGCGUCUCUGGCGCCACCGGAAGCCGGCGCCGGGUCUGUCACCAGGCAUAUCUCUGUUGCCUUGACUACGGCGGGCGCUGUGGGAGUGAAGAAGCCGCAAGUGCUGAGGCGCGGUGGAGGAAGGCAUGGGAGCCAAGAGCAUGAGGAGCUGGUGUCUGUGUCAGAUUUGUAUCUGCGGAUCAAGGGACGAGGACGCAGCGACAUCCCCACUUAUCCCGCUCCACGAAUACUCGCUCCGCAGCCGUCGGCUACCUGGGGGUAAAACGUUUCUUCGUAGCCCCUGAGACUCCCAAUCAAGGAUGCAAACUAAAAUGCCACCCAGGCCGGGUAAAUAAUAUAUGUGAAGCAGCGACGGGAUAUAAGACUGGUGAGUAGUGGGAUGUGAUCCGAAUGGGAGAAUGCAUUUCCACCCCGUCAUCCCCCACCACAAAGAUGAGAAAGAACAGUGCUCAAGGCCCUGAGUCUGCAACCCCUAUCACACUUUCUUUCAUCUGCUUUCUGUCCUCCCAGCCAGACCAUAUUUCCAUUCCCGUCCAGGCAGCAGUUCUUUGGGAUCCGCCUGACUGAAAAGGCAGUACAGUAGUCCCCACCCUGAAACCUAGAAUACAACUGAGUCCUGCCUAACAAACUUCCAUCACCUAGAAACAGUCUUCUCCUUCCUCAGCUUCACUGUUGACCCAGGGAUUAGAUCAUUAUUUGCUAAGUAAAUAUGAACGUGUCAGUCCCUUCGUGUUUGCAAUCCCCUUCAAAG
rnacentral:lncRNA from 1 species